GGGCAGUGUCUGAUGGAGGGAGGUAGCGAGUUCCAAAGGGUAGGGGCAGCUGUGGAGAAUGCCCGAUUCCCCCAAGUUCGGUGCUUGGGUCGUGACAGUGGGGUGAGAAGAUGGGCAGAGGAGGAACGGAGGUUACGGGGGGGUACAUGAGGCUGGAGUAGGUCGGUGAGAUAAGAAGGGGCUUGAUGAUGAAGGGCUUUGUGGGUGAGAAGGAGGAUCUUGAACAUGAUGCGUUGCUUGAUGGGGAGCCAGUGUAGACGGAGGAGGAUGGGGGUGAUGUGAUCUCGUGAACGGGUGUGGGUAAGGAGGCGGGCGGCAGAAUUCUGGACUAUCUGUAAUUUAUUGAGGAGUUUAGAGGGUAGACCGUACAGGAGGCUGUUGCAGUAAUCUAACCUUGAGGUGAUGAAGGCGUGGACCAGGGUUUCUGCUGCGGGGAGGGAGAGAGAUGGGCGAAUACGGGCAAUGUUUUUGAGGUGAAAAAAGGCUGAUUUAGUGACCUGUUUGAUGUGUUGUUCGAAAGUGAGGUGGGUAUCAAAGAUGAGUCCAAGGUUGCGGAUGGAGGAGGAAGGAGACAGGGGUGAGUUAUCAACUGUGAUGGAGAAGGGGGGGGUGGAUUGGGUGAUGGAUUUGGGGCCAAUGAUUAUCAUGUCGGAUUUGUCACAGUUCAGUAGAAGGUAGUUGUUAGUCAUCCAGGUCUUUAUUUCGGAGAGGCAGGUUGAGAGGGUGGAGAGGGUGCAUGGGGUGAUGGAUUCAGUGGAAAUGUAAAGUUGGACAUCGUCAGCAUAACAGUGAAAUUGGAGGCCGUGACGACGGAUGAUAUGUCCAAGAGGGAGGAUGUAAAUAAUGAACAGGAGGGGGCCAAGCACCGAACCUUGGGGGACACCUUGGGUCAGGGGAGCAGUGGUGGAGGAGUUGCUGUUUAUGUUAAUGAAUUGUUGACGGUUUGUGAGGUAUGACUUAAACCAGGAGAGGGCAGUGCCAGUUAUGUAGAUUGAGUCAUGAAGACGGGAAAGGAGGAUGGAGUGGUGGAUGGUGUCAAAAGCAGCGGUGAGGUCCAGGAGAAUCAUGAUGCUAAUGUGGCCGGAGUCAGCGCUGAGGAGGAGGUCAUUGCAAAUCUUGAGGAGGGCUGUUUCUGUACUAUGUUUGGGAAGGAAACCGGAUUGGAAGACUUCAAAGAGGCUGUUGGAGUUGAGGUGGGUCUGAAGCUGAGAGGCGACGGCACGUUCUAAUAUUUUAGAAAGCAGAGGAAGGUUGGAAAUUG